UGGAUCAGAAAGCGUUUGGCCUUACAGAAACAGCAUUCCUGCCUACAGUAAAACAUGGGGCAUACAGAAUAAGAAUUUCGGCUAUCUGUCGUAUCCGGGGGAAAUCUACUCCGAAUCCCAGCGUCGGACAUACUCUAAACAGAAAAGCAACAGUCGAGAAAGAAGUUUUAGGCUAGGCAGGCAUGACAUGGUUUGCAGGACGGAUUCAUACAGACAAGCCCAUGAGAUCGAGGCUUAAAAAUAUGUGCCGUUGAACAAUAGACUUUUCCGAACUGCCGAUGACUAUUUAUGAGGAAUUCCUGAUGUGAAAUGAGGAAGAAGAAGAAGAACACUGUUUUAACUUUUGUGAAAAAGUAGUUCUAACGUAAACAUAAUCACGAAUAAUUUCAUAAACAUAGACAUACUUUUAUAUACAUUUGCUUACACGUUAUUAUACUGUAUUGUAUUGUAUCUGCCAUUUUAUAAAAUUUUGCGACGAUUUUUAUGGGAAAUCUUGAACUUGUAUGAUUUUUUAAGCAGAAAUUUUUAUAACGGAGAAAUCGUCAGAAAUCUUUAAAAAGUGAAUCAAUAUUGAGAACAGUCACGGACAGUGAAAGCGUGUGCACAUUUAACAGUUUCAUGUUUUGCCACUAACCGUUAUAUAGUAUCGCACCACUACGUUCCAUUUUUUGGUUAAUUUUGUUCAUAUUGAUUGUAUAUAGUAUAUUUUGUCUUUUGUGUGUGAACAUCUCUGUAUUAUUAUAUACGUUAAACGUUGUCUAUUUUUGUGUGAACAUCUCUGUCUUAUUAUAUACAUUAUACUUUGUCUUUUGUGUGAACAUAUCUGUCUUAUUAUGCAAGUUAUACUUUGUCUAUCUUUAUGUGUACAUCUCUUUCUUAUAAUGUACGUUAUACUUUGUCUAUUUUUGUGUAAACAUCUCUGUCUUAUAAUGUACGUUAUACUUUGUCUAUUUUUGUGUGUACAUAUCUGUCUUAUUAUAUACGUUAUACUUUGUCUAUUUUGCGUGUACAUAUCUGUCUUAUUAUAUACGUCACACCUUGUCUAUUUUUGUGUUUACAUAUCUGUCCUAUUAUAUACUUUUCGUCUAUUUUUGUUUGUACAUAUCUGUCUUAUUAUAUACGCUAAACUUUAUAUUUUUGUGUAAAGAUAUCUUUCUUAUACAUAUAAAUAUAUACCUUUCGUUUGAGGUUCGUUUAAAAAGUGCUGCGUCAUUUGAACGCUUCUGUUACGCUUUGAUUUCUCUCCUGGCUCUAUAUGAUCAUUGAAAAAAUUUAUUUAUCCCCUCUCUUCAUAAAUACAGAAAGAGGAAGGCAACUGACGCAAUAUGUUUUCAGGAAACAAGAAUAUGAUAGUUAAAUUGUUUUAUUUAAUGUAAUGUCAAAAGGUUACUAAACUAUAAUGAGACUUUGUCGUCUCAUUAACUUACUGCUUCAAACAGUGAGAAUAUCAAAUAAAAUUUCUACUCACACAUAUCUACAUGACACUUGAACGCAAAAUAAUGUUAAUUUAAACUAGAUAGUGGAUUUUGUGGAAAGUAUGUUUCAUUCAAGACAAUGUUAUAACAUAUUUGCACUCAAUUUUCAAAAUGCAAAUAAUUUACAUAUAAAAUCAAAUUCACUUUCACGCCCGAAAAUCGAAUAUUGUGGCUGAUAUUUCGAUUUUACAUUGAACACACACAAAUAUCUUCAGGAUAUUUAUCCUAAACGUUCUGAACCUCUAUAAGCGCUGUAAGACAAAAUCACAAAAUAAAAUCACAUAUCAUUAUUUUUAUUUAUUCCUAACGCUAGUCGUACUUUUUUGAAAUGCAGACAAUAAGGAAAUAUUGCUUUAAGCUUGCUUUUUUGUAUAAUGUAUUUUAGAAGUGUAACAAAUGUGUAAACAGAUUUUGCUCUACUGG